AAAAAAGCAAUUGCUGUUACAAACACUUAAAAGGACGAUGUGUUCUACUAGACAACAACGAUAGGUUCGCAAAAUUUUGCUUUAAAGAUCAUUAGAAGUAACAACAAAAGAAAAUAAGAGUUAAUGAAAAAAAUAAUUUUACAAGAAACAUGCUCAUUUUGAUCAGUUUGUUUAUUUCAGUACAUGUUGUGAAAGUGAUUAACGGACUAGCAAUUAAUUCUACUGAUAAGUCUGUAAAACGUAUUGUUAAUGGCCAGAAUGCUAUGAUGUUUGAGAUUCCUUAUCAAAUUGUACUUCAAGUAAGAAUAGGGAGCGGUUGGGGCUAUUGGUGUUCAGGAGUUCUAGUCUCUACU
rnacentral:sRNA from 1 species